AGGUGGAGCAAAUCCCGAAAAGCGAUCUCAGUUCGGAUUGCAGGCUGCAACUCGCCUGUAUGAAGUUGGAAUCGCUAGUAAUCGCGGAUCAGCAUGCCGCGGUGAAUACGUUCCCGGGUCUUGUACACACCGCCCGUCACACCAUGGGAGUCGGAAAUGCCCGAAGUCUGUGACCCAACCUACGGGAGGGAGCAGCCGAAGGCAGGUCGGAUGACUGGGGUGAAGUCGUAACAAGGUACC
rnacentral:rRNA from 1 species